rnacentral:rRNA from 1 species
AUUGAACGCUGGCGGCAUGCCUUACACAUGCAAGUCGAACGGUAACAGGUCUUCGGAUGCUGACGAGUGGCGAACGGGUGAGUAAUGCAUCGGAACGUGCCCAGUUGUGGAGGAUAACUGCUCGAAAGAGCAGCUAAUACCGCAUACGACCUGAGGGUGAAAGCGGGGGAGCGCAAGACCUCGUGCAAUUGGAGCGGCCGAUGUCAGAUUAGGUAGUUGGUGGGGUAAAGGCCUACCAAGCCGACGAUCUGUAGUUGGUCUGAGAGGACGACCAGCCACACUGGGACUGAGACACGGCCCAGACUCCUACGGGAGGCAGCAGUGGGGAAUUUUGGACAAUGGGCGCAAGCCUGAUCCAGCAAUGCCGCGUGCAGGAAGAAGGCCUUCGGGUUGUAAACUGCUUUUGUCAGGGAAGAAAUCCUCUGGGUUAAUACCCCGGGGGGAUGACGGUACCUGAAGAAUAAGCACCGGCUAACUACGUGCCAGCCGCCGCUGUAAGAC